GUGGAUCGAACUCCAGUGGUCAGGCUUGGC
rnacentral:piRNA from 1 species